UCCAGUUGUUUGGUAAAACAUUUGUCUAGAUGUUGCUGUACAGGUAUUAUUUAGAUGUGAUUAACUUUUAAAUUGGUAGAUUUACCCUUCAUAAUGUGAGUGGGCUUCAUUUCACUGGUAGAAAGCCUCAAGAACAAAGACUGAAGUUUCCUGAAGAAGCAGCGAUUUUGCCUCAAGACUGCAUCAUAGAAACCCUGCAUAGGUGCCUCAGGACACAGAACAAGCAAAGGAAAAACUGCAGCCAGGAGAACAUGGUUUACAGAUAGAGCACAUUUGCACAAAGAGCUGUCACGUUAGAAAAAGAGGCAACAACCUGUCUGGCUUGUGUACCUACUUGGACAUCCCCAUGGUUGACACACUAUGACACAAUUGUCCAAAUCAAGAAAAAGAAGAAUUUGGUCUUUAAGCAUAAAGACUGUCAACUUUUUUUUAGAAAAGUAAGCUUCAUAACAGUAUCUGUUUCUGAGGUCACUAUUACUGGUUGAGAUUAAAUCAUUUGUUUUAUGAACUAAA